UACGUAGGGGGCGAGCGUUGUCCGGAGUUACUGGGCGUAAAGGGCACGCAGGCGGUGCUGCGCGUUUCGCGUGACAGCGGGUGGCUUAACUACCCGAGGGUGCGAAAGACGGCAGGGCUAGAGGACCAGAGAGGGACACGGAAUUCCGGGUGGAGUGGUGAAAUGCGUAGAGAUCCGGAGGAACACCGAAGGCGAAGGCAGUGUCCUGGCUGGUGACUGACGCUGAGGUGCGAAAGCCAGGGGAG
rnacentral:rRNA from 1 species